rnacentral:rRNA from 1 species
CAAUAGCGUAUAUUAAAGUUGUUGCAGUUAAAAAGCUCGUAGUUGAAUUUCUGGCGGGCGCGCCGGUCUUCCAAGUGUUGUACUGGGCGCAGUCCGCCAUCCUUGUGGAGAGGGCUCGCAUUGAGUUGCGUGUCGGAUCUGCAUCAUUUACUGUGAAAAAAUUAGAGUGUUUAAAGCAGGCUGUCGCUUGAAUACAUUAGCAUGGAAUAAUGAGAUAGGACUUCGGUCUAUUUUGUUGGUUGCGAACCGAGGUAAUGAUUAAUAGGGAUAGUUGGGGGUAUUCAUAUUUAAUUGUCAGAGGUGAAAUUCUUGGAUUUAUGAAAGAUGAACAACUGCGAAAGCAUUUACCAAGGAUGUUUNCAUUA